UGGGGAAUAUUGGACAAUGGGCGAAAGCCUGAUCCAGCCAUGCCGCGUGUGUGAAGAAGGUCUUCGGAUUGUAAAGCACUUUAAGUUGGGAGGAAGGGCAGUAAGCGAAUACCUUGCUGUUUUGACGUUACCGACAGAAUAAGCACCGGCAAACUCUGUGCCAGCAGCCGCGGUAAUACAGAGGGUGCAAGCGUUAAUCGGAAUUACUGGGCGUAAAGCGCGCGUAGGUGGUUCGUUAAGUUGAAUGUGAAAGCCCCGGGCUCAACCUGGGAACUGCAUCCAAAACUGGCGAGCUAGAGUAGGGCAGAGGGUGGUGGAAUUUCCUGUGUAGCGGUGAAAUGCGUAGAUAUAGGAAGGAACACCAGUGGCGAAGGCGACCACCUGGGCUCAUACUGACACUGAGGUACGAAAGCAUGGGGAGCAAACAGG
rnacentral:rRNA from 1 species